rnacentral:rRNA from 1 species
UACGGGGGGGCAAGCGUUGUUCGGAAUUACUGGGCGUAAAGCGCACGUAGGCGGCUUUUUAAGUCAGGGGUGAAAUCCCGGGGCUCAACCUCGGAACUGCCCUUGAAACUGGGAAGCUAGAAUCUUGGAGAGGCGAGUGGAAUUCCGAGUGUAGAGGUGAAAUUCGUAGAUAUUCGGAAGAACACCAGUGGCGAAGGCGACUCGCUGGACAAGUAUUGACGCUGAGGUGCGAAAGCGUGGGGAGCAAACAGG